GCUACUAGGGAGCUUCCCGCAAAGGUACGUGCUCGCUGUAAAUUGGCGCUAGAUGCCAUGUGCGCCUCAAGUGAGUUCCAGUUGGUGUUGAUGUCGCCUGCACUACACAAUAAUUUGCCUGUCAUGGGCCUGACGGCCUUUCAGAUAAUUUUUCAGGGCCUUUUGUUACUCUGCAAGUUCGUGGUGCUGAUGGAUUUAUUUUUUCAAAUACUUCAGACGUGUAGUACCAAAUAGAUGGUUAAUUCUUGCAUUAGACAAAUAUUGAUGAUAGUGUAAUUUGGAAAUAAUUGUGUGUCAACUUUUGCAAUACAUAUGGUAGAAUGCCGAGGGUAUUAUUGUUGCUACAAUAUUGAUGAUCGAGCUCCUCCCUCCCUCUCCAAUGUUGCAUUGCAUCUCCGGACUUGCAUUAUUGACGAGGGUGUAUUUGGUCUAGGACUCGAUUAAAAAGGGAAGCAUAAAUAUUCUGUCUGCCACCAAAUUCUUUGUGGCUUUCUGUACUGCAAACAUAGGACCGGGAUGUUAUUUGUGUGAGCAAUCAGAAGGAAGCAAUAAAACAUGAUGUCUUGUGUACAUUUCACCAUACGUCGAUCUUUUUUUAUAUCAUCAUCUUAUUAAUGUGACCAAAACUUACUCUUGUUCUUGCCCUUGCAGAUCGAGGAUAUUGUCUGAGUGGCCACGCGAGCCUGCUACAGAGCUUUGCCCAUGGCGGCAACUGCGUGAUCGAAAUUAGCUUCAGUUUUGCAAGGAUGUGUAAUUGUGUUUGUAGAUAACAGUAUUGAUAUGUUGAUCUGCUUUAUUCCUGAUGUGGUAGUAGCAAUAAGAUAGACAGAUUGGACAAUGUUAUGGCUUUGAUUUUCCUAGGUUGUAGUUUUUUCCAUAUCGUGUUAGGUUGUAUUGUAUAAUCUGCAUUAUAAGUGUGGUUUCUAAUGGGCUUAUGCUAGAUUAAUGCAUCAACCUGACAUGUUACAAACCUUGAGCCAGAACCUAUGACGUCUCAUUUUAAAU
rnacentral:lncRNA from 1 species